UCUGGUCCACAGAGCGCAUGCAGUUUUCAAUUUUUCUUUUUAUAUGUACUCCUACAUAUUUUAGCAAGGUCUAAAGAAGACCACAUUUCAGAUUUCUUCAGGCAGCCAUAUUCACAGUAGAGAUGUUGUCAUAAGCAACAAGAAAAAUUAAACACAAAUGCAAAUACAUGGCCAAAUGACAAGGAGGGCAGAUACCUUCAGCUGUGAUGUUCUUGUUGGCAGAUGUAAUGCAAAGACAACGAUUGGUCUAUGGCAAUCAAUUUCGCCUUGAAAGGGUAAACAGGUUUUCUGACUUGAAUAAGCAUUACUUCAUUUUCUGUCAUCUACUCUAGAGAAUAAUUCUGCGGUGCUUUUUCAUUGACUUUUUCCUCCUCCUAUAUUGACUCUUAGGUACCACCAUUGUAUGACCAAAAUAUUAUGGCAUGAUUGUUUUUGUGCAGUUUGUAUUUAUGACCAAAAUUCAAGACUUUGUUUUUCUUCAAUGUUAGUGUUGUGUUAAUGGGAAAAACUGAUACAUGAUUUUAGAUAUGUUGUUUGAUUUUGUUUUACUUACUAUCUGGUUAUGAUGUUACAAUGAUGAACUUAUCCAUUGUUCUCUUGGUAUAUAUUCUUGUGGUGUUCUGCAUUGUUUGAAGCAAAGUGAAAUUCAUUGCUUAUGUUUAUCAUUUGUCAUGUUUGAAAACCACAAUUAUUAGUGUUUAUGUAUGGUUAUUUGAGUAUGAGCUCCUCAAGUGAUUUAUGGUUAUGUGAAUAUUAGCUCCUCAAGCUGUGAUACAAUUCUGUUGAUAUGUUCUGGCAAAAUCUUUAAUAUUUUUUAAUGAAAAAUGUUGUGCUAAGCUAAUAACAAACUUUUUGAGGACUAAGUGGUUUCGUAUAUUAAAUUUGUUUAAUACAAUUUCAUUUUCAGACUCCAUGUUCUGAAUCUUACUAUCUCUAUUCUAAAAUACCUUAGUUCAUAAAGAUUGUUCUAAAAUUUUCUGUAGGAGAAUGACUGAUAAAUCGACUGGCUGAUCCAUAGACAUUCUGAUAUGAUUGCUGCCUUGAGAAUUUUCCUGAAAGAAGUUCCUGUGGUAACUGAUUAAGAUGAUCCAAUGGAAGGUUUGAUACUUUAUGCAACAAUGCCUUUUAAGUCUCAUGUCAAGUGCCAUAUCUUUGGCUGGUAACAUCAUCUGCAAGAUUACCAAUGAGCUGUGGAUUUUUCUUACUGCAUGGCAGACCAUUAAAUGACUGCAUUUACCAACUCAAGUUACUUUUUUCUUAUAAGCUUUACAAUGAACAUAUUCUGAGAAGGGUUAGGCAUGGCGAUAGAUACACACUUCUAAGCCAGCUCCUGAAACCAAUUUAUAUGUUGAGAAUGCUUUCUGCCAUCUAUUUUUCAGACAAGACUAGUGUUUUUUUGAAGAAUGUAUUGGUCUUUUGGAAUGGUUUGUCAGGCUGCAACUUUUCUACCAACAUUUCAGAAGUCAGCUUUAUGGAGGCCAAAUUGGAUUUUGGUGAGCCG
rnacentral:lncRNA from 1 species